CCUACGGGAGGCAGCAGUGAGGAAUAUUGGUCAAUGGACGAGAGUCUGAACCAGCCAAGUAGCGUGAAGGAUGACUGCCCUAUGGGUUGUAAACUUCUUUUAUAAAGGAAUAAAACGAGGCACGUGUGCCUUUUGCAUGUACUUUAUGAAUAAGGAUCGGCUAACUCCGUGCCAGCAGCCGCGGUAAUACGGAGGAUCCGAGCGUUAUCCGGAUUUAUUGGGUUUAAAGGGAGCGUAGAUGGGUUGUUAAGUCAGUUGUGAAAGUUUGCGGGUCAACCGUAAAAUUGCAAUUGAUACUGGCAGUCAUGAGUACAGUUGAGGUAGGCGGAAUUCGUGGUGUAGCGGUGAGAUGCUUAGAAAUCACGAAGAACCCCGAUUGCGAAGGCAGCUUACUAAACUGUGACUGACAUUGAUGCUCGAAAGUGUGGGUAUCAAACAGGAUUAGAUACCCCAGUAGUC
rnacentral:rRNA from 1 species